rnacentral:rRNA from 1 species
CAGUAGCCGCGGUAAUACGAAGGGGGCUAGCGUUGCUCGGAAUGACUGGGCGUAAAGGGCGCGUAGGCGGCACACACAGUCAGGCGUGAAAUUCCUGGGCUUAACCUGGGGGCUGCGCUUGAUACUUGGUUGCUUGAGUGGGGAAGAGGGUCGUGGAAUUCCCAGUGUAGAGGUGAAAUUCGUAGAUAUUGGGAAGAACACCGGUGGCGAAGGCGGCGACCUGGUCCUUGACUGACGCUGAGGCGCGAAAGCGUGGGGAGCAAACAGGAUUAGAUACCCCCGUAGUCCCUGUCUCUUAUAC